rnacentral:rRNA from 1 species
AGCAGCCGCGGUAACACCGGCGGCCCGAGUGGUGAUCGUGAUUAUGGGUCUAAAGGGUCCGUAGCCGGUUUGGUCAGUCCUCCGGGAAAUCUGAUAGCUCAACUAUUAGGCUUUCGGGGGAUACUGCCAGACUGGAACCGGGAGAGGUAAGAGGUACUACAGGGGUAGGAGUGAAAUCUUGUAAUCCCUGUGGGACCACCUGUGGCGAAGGCGUCUUACCAGAACGGGUUCGACGGUGAGGGACGAAAGCUGGGGGCACGAACCGGAUUAGAUACCCGGGUAGUCCCAGCCGUAAACGAUGCUCGCUAGGUGUCAGGCAUGGCGCGACCGUGUCUGGUGCCGCAGGGAAGCCGUGAAGCGAGCCACCUGGGAAGUACGGCCGCAAGGCUGAACUUAAAGGAAUUGGCGGGGGAGCACAACAACGGGUGGAGCCUUGCGGUUUAAUUGGACUCAACGCCGGACAACUCACCGGGGGCGACAGCAAUAUGUAGGCCAAGCUGAAGACUUUGCCUGAAUCGCUGAGAGGAGAGGUGCAUGG